AACGAACGCUGGCGGCAUGCCUAACACAUGCAAGUCGAACGAGACCUUCGGGUCUAGUGGCGCACGGGUGCGUAACGCGUGGGAACCUGCCCUUAGGUUCGGAAUAACUCCCCGAAAGGGGUGCUAAUACCGGAUAAUGUCUUCGGACCAAAGAUUUAUCGCCUUUGGAUGGGCCCGCGUUGGCUUAGCUAGUUGGUAGGGUAAAAGCCUACCAAGGCGAGGAUCCAUAGCUGGUCUGAGAGGAUGAUCAGCGACACUGGGACUGGGACACGGCCCAGACUCCUACGGGAGGCAGCAGUGGGUAAUAUUGGACAAUGGGCGAAAGCAUGAUCCAGCAAUGCCGCGUGAGUGAUGAAGGCCUUAGGGUUGUAAAGCUCUUUUACCCGGGAUGAUAAUGACGGUACCGGGAGAAUAAGCUCCGGCUAACUCCGUG
rnacentral:rRNA from 1 species